UACGGAGGGUGCGAGCGUUGUCCGGAAUCAUUGGGCGUAAAGGGCGCGUAGGUGGCCCGGUCUAGUCUUUGGUGAAAGCGCGGGGCUCAACCCUGCGUCGGCCAGGGAUACUGCCGCGGCUCGAGCACUGUAGAGGCAGGCGGAAUUCCGGGUUGGUAGCGGUGGAAUGCGUAGAGAUCCGGAAGAACACCGGUGGCGAAGGCGGCCUGGCUGGGCAGGUAUAGCUGACACUGAGGCGCGACAGCGUGGGGAGCAAACAGG
rnacentral:rRNA from 1 species